AUGGCGUCAGGAUGAAACGCGUGGCGGCGUGCUUAACACAUGCAAGUCGAACGAAGCAACUAUCUUGCUGCAAGAAAGUUGACUUAGUGGCGGACGGGUGAGUAACGCGUGGGUAACCUGCCUCAUACAGGGGGAUAACAGUUGGAAACGACUGCUAAGACCGCAUAACCCGCUAGUGUCGCAUGACACGGACGGAAAAUAUUUAUAGGUAUGAGAUGGGCCCGCGUCUGAUUAGCUAGUUGGUAAGGUAACGGCUUACCAAGGCGACGAUCAGUAGCCGACUUGAGAGAGUGAUCGGCCACAUUGGGACUGAGACACGGCCCAAACUCCUACGGGAGGCAGCAGUGGGGAAUAUUGGACAAUGGGGGAAACCCUGAUCCAGCCGACGCCGCGUGAGUGAAGAAGUAUUUCGGUAUGUAAAGCUCUAUCAGCAGGGAAGAUAAUGACAGUACCUGACUAAGAAGCCCCGGCUAACUACGUGCCAGCCGCCGC
rnacentral:rRNA from 1 species